ACAAGCGGUGGAGCAUGUGGUUUAAUUCGACGCAACGCGAAGAACCUUACCAGGGCUUGACAUCCCCUGACCGCGUAUGAAAGUACGUUUUCACCCUCGGGUGACAGGGAGACAGGUGGUGCAUGGUUGUCGUCAGCUCGUGUCGUGAGAUGUUGGGUUAAGUCCCGCAACGAGCGCAACCCCUACGUUUAGUUGCUAACAGGUGAAGCUGAGCACUCUAGACGAACUGCCGUUGACAAAACGGAGGAAGGUGGGGAUGACGUCAAAUCAUCAUGCCCCUUAUGUUCUGGGCUACACACGUGCUACAAUGGCCGGUACAGACGGAGGCGAAGCCGCGAGGCGGAGCAAAUCCGAAAAAGCCGGUCUCAGUUCGGAUUGCAGGCUGCAAUUCGCCUGCAUGAAGUCGGAAUCGCUAGUAAUCGCAGGUCAGCACACUGCGGUGAAUACGUUCUCGGGCCUU
rnacentral:rRNA from 1 species